UUAAAAUUGAGAAUGGAAAUGGGGAAUGUGUCAAAGAGACAACAAACAGACCAAAGACCAGAAAACAACCAAAAGCCACCAAUGGGUCUUCAACACAGCGAGUAAAUAUGAACCCGGAGGCGGGCAUCAGCUGGUCCCUAAGCAACAAUGUGUACUAGUUCAGUGAAAAUGGACGUCAUACCGAACUCCGAAACAUAUUAAUGAACUAGAAUUAAAAAACAUACAAGGCGAACAAAGGCCAAAGGCUCCUAGACUUUGGACAGGCGUAAAAAAUUGACGUCUUAUAAGCUAGAGAGGGGAAAGAUACAAAACGGACAUUCAAACUCCUAAGCCGAAACCAGGUAAUUUCAGGUGCUCCGGAAGGGUAAACAGAUCUUACUCCACAUGUGGCAUCCGUAGAAUUGCUCGUGUAAGUAUAUUCAUGUUGAUAAGUCUAAUUCGGUAGGUCACAAUCGGGGAAAAGAGAACAGGAGUGUGGUUAAGACAAUAGAACGCGAUUCUUCGUCAUCUGUGACACAGAUAUUCCAUAACGGCCAAAAACUCGUGAUUGAGUCCGUCCUAUUUACAAAGGGACCUUCAUCACUUGGAACUCCUGUUUUUAUAACUUCCUUGUGAUCAGCAGCCCUCUAUCAAGGAAAUCAUGAUAGGAAAUAAAAGCCCUGGAAUAUCGCCCAUUAUUUUCAAGGAAUGGACAGUUAUUUGGACUUUCGCUAACUUAAAAUACACCUUAAAUAUUAGAACGAAUCUUUAGAUUAUAACAUUUUAAAGAAUUUUAUUUCAUAUUGUAAUGGUUUUCUUUUCAUUAUCCCCGUGGUGUAACCAAUAAUCCACAGGCAAAAUUUAAGAUCAAGCUGACCAUAUACUCACUUAACGAAGUAUUUAUGAACAGUUGAAUAAUUACUAUAAAAAGAUCUUGAAUAAGUUCAUCCAGAUUCAUGUUUUAAGUCAUUGGAUACGCACGUCUUUCUUGUGGUGGGAUUGAAAGGAUAUUUACGUGUGUCUUUAAGUGGUAUUUCGGGAGAGAGAGAAAACUAAUAUUUAUUCAUAUAUGUUAAUGGAUUAUGUGUAUUUUUCGUUUGAUAAAUCUUGGAUGUAGAAUCGUCCGAGAAAAAUGACAUGGUACAAAUAGAAUAAAUUUCCAGAUGCACAGAAGAGGAAUGGCACUCAAUGGAAAAUAUGCGUUUUUAUCCGCUUCAGUUGGAUACUAUCCGUGACAGAAAUUAAGCAAAGAUUUGC